GAUGAACGCUGGCGGCGUGCAUAACACAUUCAAGUCGAACGGACAGUAGAAAUACUGUUAGUGGCGGACGGGUGAGUAACGCGUGAGCAAUCUGCCUCUGUGUGUGGGAUAACAGGGAGAAAUCGCUGCUAAUACCGCAUAAUGUUGCACCUUCGCAUGAAGGAGCAACCAAAGAUUUAUUGCACAGAGAUGAGCUUGCGUCCGAUUAGGCAGUUGGCGGGGUAACGGCCCACCAAACCGACGAUCGGUAGCCGAACUGAGAGGUUGAACGGCCACAUUGGAACUGAGAUACGGUCCAGACGCCUACGGGAGGCAGCAGUGGGGAAUAUUGGGCAAUGGGCGAAAGCCUGACCCAGCGACGCCGCGUGAGGGAGGAAGGUCUUCGGAUUGUAAACCUUUGUCAACAGGAACGAAGAGAUGACGGUACCUGUGGAGGAAGCCACGGCUAACUACGUGCCAGCAGCAGCCGCAGUAA
rnacentral:rRNA from 1 species